CCAGCUGGCUGGAUGACCGCUGCCGCACGUCCCGAAAGGGCGCGGGGGAGGAAAGUCCGGGCUCCAUGGAAACACGGUGCCGGGUAACGCCCGGCGGGGGCGACCCCAGGGACAGUGCCACAGAAAAGAUACCGCGUGCGAGGUUCGCCCCGCCGCAAGGGUGAAAUGGUGCGGCAAGAGCGCACCGCGCUUCCGGCAACGGCGGCGGCAGGGCAAACCCCACCGGGAGCAAGACCGAAUAGGGAUGGCGCGGCGCCUGCGGGGGCCAGGGCGGUUUCCGGCCCAGCCAUCCGGGUAGGUCGCGCGAAGCGUCCGGCGACGGGCGUUCCAGAUGAAUGGUCAUCCAUGGGCGGAAACGCCCGGGACAGAACCCGGCUUACAGGCCGGCUGGCGUU
rnacentral:RNase_P_RNA from 1 species